UGCGGGAGUGCUGGAGUGGUCAAACAGGACAGACUCAAAAUCUGUUAGCUUAGUGCUUACAAAGGUUCGAAUCCUUUCUCCCGCAU
rnacentral:tRNA from 1 species